rnacentral:rRNA from 1 species
CGCGUAAAGAACUUGCCCUCUAGACUGGGACAACUAUUGGAAACGAUAGCUAAUACCGGAUAUUAUGAGAAUUUCGCAUGGGGAACUCAUGAAAGGCUAUAUGCGCUAGAGGAGAGCUUUGCGUGCCAUUAGGUAGUUGGUAGGGUAAUGGCCUACCAAGCCGACGAUGGCUAGCCGGCCUGAGAGGGUGAACGGCCACAAGGGGACUGAGACACGGCCCUUACUCCUACGGGAGGCAGCAGUGGGGAAUAUUGGACAAUGGGCGCAAGCCUGAUGCAGCCAUGCCGCGUGUGUGAAGAA